CCCCCCCCCCCCAUUUGCUUUCUCAUCCGUGCUUCGCCGCGAUCCACCACCGGUCCGCCGCCGCUCGCCGUCAUCCGACCAUAACUGUUGAGCAUUUGAAAUCUCAGAUCUCAAUUGUUGUCGAUUAAUAUUAGUUCUGCAACCACAAACGGGUGGACCUUUUUUUCGUUUACCAAGUGCUUUGAUGGUGCCUAGAUCAUUGGAAGCGGAGGAUCUGGGAUGGUGGUGCAAGAGAUAGAGAUGACCGUGGAUUAGACUACUUUCAUAACUGUUGUGCUGCUUGAUCCAAUGCCUUGUGUCGUGAUGUGAAGAGCUCAAACAUUUCUUCAGACAAGCAUCCAACGUUUCGAGUUAAAAUGUUGGGGAUUUGGGAAGGCGUAUAAUUGGAUUCGGGAAAGUGUACAUAGACCGCCUUACAAAUGUCGUAAGAUCAGAAUCUCACUGGACAAAAUGUAUGUGAUCAACUAUAUUAAGUAAAUGUCAGCACGUUGUACUGUAGGCUAGACUAUCUUCAUAGUUUGACUUUCAAUGCAAUAUUAUACAUUGUGUAUACGGAAAGCCUAACAUUUUUAUUAUAAUGUCGAGAGUAGUAUUUGUAUGUGUAAAACGUUCUUGUAAUGUGUGGCAUACUAGCAUGAUGCAUCAAAUUCUCUUUAUGAUGCGGAACACAAAUCAAAAUGAAUUGACCUCUUAUCUUUGUGAAA